ensembl:lncRNA
GAUAAUGUGGGGUUGGCGUUUUAGGGGUUAGUUACGUGCUCAUGGAAGAGGUGGGUUUUUAGCUGUUUUUGAAGAUAGUGAGAGAUUCUGUGGUCCGGAUUGAGGUUGGAAGUUCAUUCCACCACUGAGGAACAGAUAGUUUGAAGGUUCUGGAAAGGGACCUUGAGCCACGCCGAGUAGGUACUACUAAGCGUCAGUUGCGUGAGGGAACGUAAGCCUUCAGGAGAGUGUUGAGGUAGGGCGGUGCUGUUCCAGACAAGGUCUUGUACGUGAGCAUCAAGGCCUGGAAUUUGAUACGGGCGUCUACAGGAAGCCAGUGGAGGGGAUGAAGAGGGGUGUGGCAUGGGUUCUCUCGGGCUGGUUGAAGACGAGGCGUGCUGCUGCAUUCUGAAUCAUUUGAAGGGGUUUGAUGGAGCUGGCUGGGAGGCCUGAGAGUAGUGCGUUGCAGUAGUAUAGUUUUGAUAUGACAAGAGCCUGGACUAGUAGCUGUGUAGCCUGUUCGGUGAGAUAUGGUCUGAUUCUCUUGAUGUUAUACAGAAUGAACUUACAGGACCGUGCAGUUGUUGAAAUGUGGUUUGUAAGGGUCAAGCUGUCAUCAAAAGUCACCCCAAGGUUCCUGGCUGUCCUGGUUCGCUUGAGUGUGGUUGAGCCGAGCUGUACGGUGAGGCUGUGGUUGAUUGAGGGGAAGGCUGGGAUGACGAGAAGCUCAGAUUUGGCCAAGUUGAGUUUAAGGUGGUGUUCCCUCAUCCAGUCUGAGAUGUCAGACCGGCAAGCAGAGAUUCGUGCAGACCUUUCAAACGUUUGGCAUGCAAAUAAGUGCCAAUUUCCUGUUCAAACCUCAGCUCAGCUGUGCUUCUGAAUCUAUCUUUUAUUCAUUCAUCUACAUUCUAUUUCUCCUCUUCCUGUUCUUUGGGCUCCGCAUUGUGCUUGCCACGCCUUCCAUACUUGGCCCCUUUAAUCGCUGCUUGCAGCUAUAUUUAUUAUUAUUUCUUCCAAUAAUUAAUAACCACAGUAACCAACCAACCAACUAAAUAAAUAGAUGAAUUUCAGCAACUAAAAAUCUAUCAUCAACACUACAAACCAUGCCAAACAGAUGACUGGUGGAUAAUGUGCUCACUGAAUGAAUCAUACAUGCCAAGACAUCGUCCCGAGGCGGUUUGGAGUGGACUGUGUGUCAAAAAGUCCUGAGUAAGCAGUUAAAAGACUUUGUUAGCAGACUUGCUUGGAGAAGGCGUUUUCCAGUACAACAGCAUUCCACACAUUCCGGCUUCACAUGGACACAAAUCCCUGCAUGCAUCA